rnacentral:rRNA from 1 species
UACAGAGGGUGCGAGCGUUAAUCGGAUUUACUGGGCGUAAAGGGCGCGUAGGCGGUUUAGUAAGUGAGAUGUGAAAUCCCUGGGCUUAACCUAGGAACUGCAUCUCAUACUGCGAAGCUAGAGUAUUGUAGAGGGUAGUGGAAUUUCCGGUGUAGCGGUGAAAUGCGUAGAGAUCGGAAGGAACACCAGUGGCGAAGGCGGCUACCUGGACAAAUACUGACGCUGAUGCGCGAGAGCGUGGGGAGCAAACAGG